rnacentral:rRNA from 1 species
AGGGCACCACCAGGAGUGGAGCCUGCGGCUUAAUUUGACUCAACACGGGAAAACUCACCCGGCCCGGACACUGGAAGGAUUGACAGAUUGAGAGCUCUUUCUUGAUUCAGUGGGUGGUGGUGCAUGGCCUUUCUUAGUUGGUGGAGUGAUUUGUCUGGUUAAUUCCGAUAACGAACGAGACUCUAGCCUACUAAAUAGAUCGUCGGCUUACAAACGCCGGCGAGACUUCUUAGAGGGACAGGCGGUGAUUCAACCGCACGAAACAGAGCAAUAACAGGUCUGUGAUGCCCUUAGAUGUCCGGGGCCGCACGCGCGCUACACUGAAGUGAUCAGCGUGCUUUUUCAACCUACUCUGUCAAGAGUGGGGAACCCAAUGAACCUUCUUCGUGAUUGGGAUAGGGGAUUGUAAUUAUUCCCCUUGAACGAGGAAUUCCCAGUAAGCGCGAGUCAUAAGCUCGCGUUGAUUACGUCCCUGCCCUUUGUACACACCGCCCGUCGCUACUACCGAUUGAAUGUUUU